rnacentral:rRNA from 1 species
GACGAACGCUGGCGGCGUGCCUAAUACAUGCAAGUCGAACGCAGUGGGGACGGGUGAGUAACCCGUGGGUAACCUCCCAUCAGAGGGGAUACCACUUGGAAACAGGUGCUAAACCUAUACUGAUGGAUGGACCCGCGGUGCAUUAGCUAGUUGGUGAGGUAACGGCUCACCAAGGCCACGAUUCAUAGCCGGCCUGAGAGGGGGAUCAGCCACAAUGGGACUGAGACACUGCCCAGACUCCUACGGGAGGCAGCAGUAGGGAAGCUUCGGCAAUGGGCGAAAGUCUGACCGAGCCACGCCGCGUGAGUGAAGAAGGUUUUCGGAUUGUAAAACUCUUUUGGUAGAGAAGCGGUAUCUAACCAGAAAGCCACGGCUAACUACGUGCCAGCAGCCGCGGUAAUUC